GAUGAACGCUCGCGGGAGGCCUAACACAUGCAAGCCGAGCGGUAUUGUUUCUUCGGCAAUGAGAGAGCGGCGUACGGGUGCGUAACACGUGUGCAACCUGCCUUUAUCUGGGGGAUAGCCUUUCGAAAGGAAGAUUAAUACUCCAUAAUAUAUUGAACGGCAUCGUUUAAUAUUGAAAGCUCCGGCGGAUAGAGAUGGGCACGCGCAAGAUUAGCUAGUUGGUGAGGUAACGGCCCACCAAGGCGAUGAUCUUUAGGGGGCCUGAGAGGGUGAUCCCCCACACUGGUACUGAGACACGGACCAGACUCCUACGGGAGGCAGCAGUGAGGAAUAUUGGUCAAUGGGUGCAAGCCUGAACCAGCCAUCCCGCGUGAAGGACGACUGCCCUAUGGGUUGUAAACUUCUUUUGUAUAGGGAUAAACCUACCCUCGAGAGGGUAGCUGAAGGUACUAUACGAAUAAACACCGGCUAACUCCGU
rnacentral:rRNA from 1 species